rnacentral:rRNA from 1 species
UCGGUAAUUCCAGCUCCAAUAGCGUAUAUUAAAGUUGUUGCAGUUAAAAAGCUCGUAGUUGGAUUUCUGGUCGGGGUCAACGGUGCGCACUCGCGCGCCUGCGUCCUCUGCCAUCCUUCUGUUAAGCCCGUAUAGCAUUCAUUUGUUGACGGGUGGCUCAGAUAUUUUACCUUGAGAAAAUUAGAGUGUUUCAGGCAGGCUAGCGCCGGGAUACAUUAGCAUGGAAUAAUGGAACAGGACUUUAACCUCUUCUGUUGGUCUGAGGGGUUAGAGUAAUGAUUAAUAGGGAUAGUUGGGGGCAUUAGUACUUAACUGUCAGAGGUGAAAUUCUCGGAUUUGUUAAAGACUAACUUAUGCGAAAGCAUUUGCCGAAAGAUGUUUUCAUUAAUCAAGAACGAAAGUUAGGGGAUCGAAGACGAUCAGAUACCGUCCUAGUCUUAACCAUAAACUAUGCCGACUCGGGAUCNGGGGGCAGCAUCAUCCGCCUUCGGCACCGUAUGAGAAAUCAAAGUCUUUGGUUCUGGGGGGAGUAUGGUCGCAAGGCUGAAACUUAAAGGAAUUGACGGAAGGGCACCACCAGGCGUGGAGCUUGCGGCUCAAUUUGACUCAACACGGGGAAACUUACCAGGUCCAGACACAGUGAGGAUUGACAGAUUGAUAGCUCUUUCUUGAUUCUGGGGGUGGUGGUGCAUGGCCGUUCUUAGUUGGGGGAGUGAUUUGUCUGGUUAAUUCCGUUAACGAACGAAACCUUACCCUACUAAAUAGUCCCACCAAUUUACAUUGGCCGCGUACUUCUUAGAGGGACUUUGUACAUUAAGUACAAGGAAGUUUGAGGCAAUAACAGGUCUGUGAUGCCCUUAGAUGUCCUGGGCCGCACGCGUGCUACACUGACACAUACAGCGAGUUUUCCAGCUCCGCGAGGCAGCUGGCAAUCAGCAAUAUGUGUCGUGAUGGGGAUAGAUCUUUGGAAUUUUUGAUCUUGAACGAGGAAUGCCUAGUAAGCGCAAGUCAUCAGCUUGCGUUGAUUAAGUCCCUGCCCUUUGUACACACCGCCCGUCGCUCCUACCGAUUUCGGGUGGUCCGGUGAACCCUUUGGACCUACCUUUGGCCUCGAGCCACUAACUGGGAAGUCGAGUAAACCACAUCACCUAGAGGAAGGAGAAGUCGUAACAAGGUAGCCGUA